rnacentral:rRNA from 1 species
UACGUAGGGACCAAGCGUUGUUCGGAUUUACUGGGCGUAAAGGGCGCGUAGGCGGCGUGGUAAGUCAGCUGUGAAAUCUCCGAGCUUAACUCGGAACGGUCAGCUGAUACUGCUGUGCUAGAGUACAGAAGGGGCAAUCGGAAUUCUUGGUGUAGCGGUGAAAUGCGUAGAUAUCAAGAGGAACACCUGAGGCGAAGGCGGGUUGCUAGGCUGACACUGACGCUGAGUGCGCGAAAGCCAGGGGAGCAAACGGG